GCGAGUGUGGUGAAAUUGGCAGACGCGCUAGAUUCAGGUUCUAGUGGAAGCGAUUCCGUGCAGGUUCAAGUCCUGUCACUCGCACCA
rnacentral:tRNA from 1 species